GUAGGUGGCAAGCGUUGUCCGGAAUUAUUGGGCGUAAAGCGCGCGCAGGCGGUUCUUUAAGUCUGAUGUGAAAGCCCACGGCUCAACCGUGGAGGGUCAUUGGAAACUGGAGAACUUGAGUACAGAAGAGGAAAGCGGAAUUCCACGCGUAGCGGUGAAAUGCGUAGAGAUGUGGAGGAACACCAGUGGCGAAGGCGGCUUUCUGGUCUGUAACUGACGCUGAGGCGCGAAAGCGUGGGGAGCAAACAGGAUUAGAUACCCUGGUAGUCCACGCCGUAAACGAUGAGUGCUAAGUGUUAGGGGGUUUCCGCCCCCCUUAGAGCUGCAGCUAACGCAUUAAGCACUCCGCCUGGGAGUACGGCCGCAAGGCUGA
rnacentral:rRNA from 1 species